rnacentral:misc_RNA from 1 species
AAAAAAAAAGGAAAAAGAAAAUUGGUCAUAAUAAAAAAAUUUAAUCAAAGUUUUGAAUUUUUUUGGGUUAUCAGUCCUAAAUUGGUGUUGUAUCUGAUUUUUAUUAUUGUCUCCAUCCUCUAUUCCCUUGGGGUGGAUGACAAGAUUCUUGGUUAUUCAUUUGUAUUCACAUUAGUAGCAGCAUGCAUUUAUAUUGAAGAUUCUUAUCCAUGCCUUUCUUUCUGCUCUAUUCCUACAGUCUUUCUUGAUUUUGAAAAUGGCACUGGUUAAUUGUAUUUAGAAAUCAUGCAUGUGGCUUCACAAGAAGGAAG